UCCAGCAGCCAUAUCACUCUGCAACUCACCAAUGGCAACCCACUGAAGCUAAGCAGGUGUGAGCCUGAUCAGUACCUGGAUGGGAGACCUCCGGGGAAAAACUAAGGUUGUUGCUGGAA
rnacentral:rRNA from 1 species